AUGUCUGAUAAUGGAACUCCUUUUAAAAACAAACAAGUCGAGAGAUUAUGCUCAAAAUUUAAGAUAGACCAUCAUUAUUCCACGACAUAUAAUCCAGCUGCCAAUGGACAAGCAGAAGCUUUCAACAAAACUCUUUGCAAGUUACUAAAGAAAGUUGUACCAAAAAACAAGCGUGACUGGCAUGAAAAGCUUCUCGAAGCCUUGUGGGCUUAUAGAACCACAACACGAAUGCCGACAGGAAUGACACCUUAUUCCUUAGUAUUCGGGGGAGAAGCCGUUCUACCUUUGGAGGUACAGAUCACGUCAAUGAGAGUCGCUACACAUGAAAAUUUGUCGGAAGAAAAAUCAGUACAAUUACGUCUCGACGAAUUAGAAAGACUAGAAGGUAGACGACUUCAAGCUUUGCAAAAUCUUGAGGCAUACCAAGCUAGGAUGUCUCGAGCAUUCGACAAACGAGUCAAAACAAGGUCGUUCAAACAAGGAGAUCUAGUACUUGUGGUCAUCCGUCCUAUGAAUAUCACGCGACGGAUGAAAGGAAAAUUUGAACCAAAAUGGGAAGGUCCCUUCGUCAUAAAAGAGGUUUAUUCUAGCAGCGCAUAUAGAAUCAUAUCACCAGAUGGGGAAUACUCGCCGGCACCGGUAAAUGGGAAAUUCCUUAAGCGUUACUAUGCAUAA
rnacentral:rRNA from 1 species